GAGAUGAUGGCUCAAUGGUUAAGAGCACUGACUGCUCUUCCAGAGGUCCUGAGUUCAAUUCCCAGCAACCACA
rnacentral:tRNA from 1 species